rnacentral:rRNA from 1 species
UACGUAGGGACCAAGCGUUGUUCGGAUUUACUGGGCGUAAAGGGUUCGUAGGUGGCUUGUUAAGUCAGACGUGAAAUCCCUCGGCUCAACCGGGGAACUGCGUCUGAGACUGAUGAGCUCGAGUGCAGGAGAGGAACGCGGAAUUCCAGGUGUAGCGGUGAAAUGCGUAGAUAUCGAGAGGAACACCUGCGGCGAAGGCGGGUUGCUGGGCUGAUACUGACGCUGAUGCGCGAAAGCCAGGGGAGCGAACGGG